GGUCAAUCAUCCUUCUAUAUUUUAAUCUAUAUGGGCCUCUAUCCUCUUGUGAUAAUAUUUUCUUUAUUACUUCUCUGUUCCCCCGUAGUUUUCUUCCUCAUACCUUAUUGUUUCUAUGGUGCCUUGAAAUUCAAACUUACUCAUGCUCUCGUUUUCUUUUCUCUAUGUCCUAGGUUGGUUUCACCUCCUAUCCUCUACUAUUGUGCUGCAUCCUCUCUUAACCC
rnacentral:lncRNA from 1 species